CACUGGCUCAAGUCAGUCACUAUGAGACACCUGGGAAAACUGCGCCACCUUGUGGCUCCACUGCCUGAUGACUGAACUGACCUCCAGGCUUGACUCUGGUCUCCCCUGUGUUAUUUCUGCUGAAGUACCCAGUCCCAGGCCAGGCUUUCCAGUACCCAAAGGGUUUAAGGACAAUGGGAAGUUCCAUCAUCCAUCUCUAGGAUGUCCUUGGAAAGGGAAGCUGCAGAGAAAACAU
rnacentral:lncRNA from 1 species